GCCAACUGCGUAGAGAGGGAGAGCGAAAAGAGUUGAAGAGAAACUAUCUCGACAUCUUAAGUUUUUGAAAAAAUUAGAGUCGCCCGUUUUGAUUAAAAAAAUCCUGUACAGUUUUUAGCCUUACGCAUAUUUAAAAUAUAUAAAAACAGUUCUUUACCGAAAAUAAUUUACGUAACAAAUAUACAAUUCUGGCAGUAACGGGUCUUUCCCUAUCUUCUUCGCGGAACUGCAGUGCUCUAAAGCCGUCUUCCUCCAAGCAACUAAGAGAGCACCUUCAAGUGUUUAAUCUCUUCUGUUGGCCCCUCCUGAACCCCAGACUGGUGAUUGGUCAUUGCUGUCAGUUCCUGCAGUGGGUGUCCAAGACUUGCCAGGAUUUUCCAGUCCUUCCAAUCAUUCGACUCCCUCUUGCUUUGACUGCACUGCCUUUGAAGUUUUUACAUUUUGCUUGGGAAUCUCUGCAGUUACGCUGAGGGAGACCAUUUCCUUUUGCCUAAAUGAAGUGGACUCCAUGCCUUAAUGGCAAAUACAUAAUUGCUGAAGUGGUCUACAUUGGGGAGAUUUGUCUAAGGAAUUAAGAAUUGUGAUAAAGCCACACCAGAACUUCAGGCUCAGCAAAGAUCGGCCAUAUCUAGAUUGUACGUGGCACUGGAGUGCAUACAAAUUGAGCACAGGAAGGAGGCACUUCGCUACAUUAAGGGGGAGAGUGGACCGUGAACUGUUGCAAGGAAGUAUCCGAUUUUGAUUUUAACAAACAAAAAACGUGAUUGUUCAUGAAAUGUUCAGCAGUUCAUAACCUUUGUGGUGCUCUCUAGGUUGCCCUUUCUGUUGUCAUUAGUUUACGACUUGCCUGGGUUUUCUUUCACCUCCAUCAUGACUCACUCCCAAGGGAGUAAUGAGGCUGAGAACUAAGUGGCUGGGGCGGUUUUGUGUUGUGAUUUAAGACACAUACAGUACACUCCCUUUUUGUCUGGCAAUCCUGCAGACGAAGGCGAAUAAUAAGAAGUGAGCAGAAGCAGAGAUUCUCUAAGCUGUGGAGAAAUGCCUUCCAUACACAGCGGAGUCAUCUCUCUGGGGAUAUUCCUCAUGGGUACUGGGGUCCUCAUGUUUCUAUGUUUAGGAAACUCUUGGGAGGCCCAAGGAGCAAGAUUGUUUGGCCUGGCCUUGGCGGUAUUUGGUGCCAUCCUGAUAGUGUUGGGACUGUACUUGGCCAUGAAAUCGCAGCAUGUCACCACUACAGGACACUUUCCACUCCACCUAGGGGCCUGCACCCGUUACCAUGGAAGCCAGGCUGUUAUCAUACAGAGGAGACUUGACAGGAUAAGGAGAGUUGUUUCCGAAGACAGAGAGCAUGUCCAAGCCCCUCCCAGUCACAGCCAUCACAGCAUUCUGGGAUACCCCCCACUUUGGGACCUGGACCCUCCGCCUUCGUAUGAGACUGUUAUGAAGAGCACCAUGAGCACGGCACGGCUCUGACUGACUCCACAAACAGAAACACGGUGCAGCUCAGCAAGAGUAAAUAGUAAACUCUUUUUCAUGCCCUGCUUGGAAUACAGAUCUGCUAUUUAUCCUUCCCCACACUUUUUCUCCUGCCUGACCUGAAAGAACCUAAGAAACCACACAGCACUUCUUAUAUCAGGGUUGGUCUUUUAUUUCUGUACUAGGGAGCAGACAAGACAUUGCUCACCUACAUGAAGCUGAAGGCUUAGACACUUUGAGAUACAGGUCAUAUUUCUUUCUUCCUCUAGCAUAGCAAGCAGACUCUCUGGAAUGCUCCAUGUUCUCAAACUGAUCAUAAGUGUCCAUACAGUGUACUUCUGCCCUUUUAGAAGCUGAACAUCAUAUAAACAGGUCAUGCAAAAAAGUCAGUUAAUAGUAAAAGUGCUGGUAUGGCCCUGGGGGAAAAGCAAGGAAUAUGAGUUCUCAGAUUAAUCAUGGUAAACUUUUUUAUGGGUUUGCCAGGACAAAGGCAAGAGUGAUUUGUGGCUGGCCAGACUGGUGCCCAGCUCGUUUCUGGAAAUUCGGGAUGUUUCUGGAAUUUUCAGUUAAUGAAAAACAGAUAUGAUGUUCUGCUUUGUUUGAAAGGUGACAUUUUCACCUGUUUCUGAGAUGCGGGACGAUUUCCUUCUCCCUGAGAAAGCACCUCUUUGUGCUGCUCCAUCCACAGCUGAA